rnacentral:rRNA from 1 species
GACGAACGCUGGCGGCGUGCUUAACACAUGCAAGUCGAGCGAGAUCCAUCCAGUGGCAACACUGGUGAAGAUCUAGCGGCGAACGGGUGAGUAACACGUGAGCAACCUGCCCCGAAGACCGGGAUAACAGCGGGAAACCGCUGCUAAUACCGGAUGCCCUCACCGGGCCGCAUGACCUGGUGAGGAAAUGGCUGAGUCUAAUACACUCAGUCCGCUUCGGGAGGGGCUCGCGGGCUAUCAGCUUGUUGGUGAGGUAACGGCUCACCAAGGCUACGACGGCUAGCUGGUCUGAGAGGACGACCAGCCACACUGGGACUGAGACACGGCCCAGACUCCUACGGGAGCAGCAGUGGGAAUCUUGCGCAAUGGGCGAAAGCCUGACGCAGCAACGCCGCGUGGGGAUGAAGGCC